rnacentral:siRNA from 1 species
UUGAUGAGCAGGUGCAACCA